UUGGAGGGCAAGUCUGGUGCCAGCAGCCGCGGUAAUUCCAGCUCCAAUAGCGUAUAUUAAAGUUGUUGCAGUUAAAAAGCUCGUAGUUGAAUUUCGAGAUCGGCUUACUGGUCGUGCUUUUGUACGUACUGGUAAAUCGGUUUCUCCUUUCUGACGAACUUUAAUGCCAUUAAUUUGGUGUUUUAGGGAAUCAGGACUGUUACUUUGAAAAAAUUAGAGUGUUUAAAGCAGGCUCACGCUUGAAUACAUUAGCAUGGAAUAACGGAAUAGGACGUUUGAUUCUAUUUUGUUGGUUUCUAGGAUCGACGUAAUGAUUAAUAGGGAUAGUUGGGGGCAUUAGUAUUCAAUUGUCAGAGGUGAAAUUCUUGGAUUUAUUGAAGACUAACUACUGCGAAAGCAUUUGCCAAGGAUGUUUUCAUUAAUCAAGAACGAAAGUUAGGGGAUCGAAGACGAUCAGAUACCGUCGUAGUCUUAACCAUAAACUAUGCCGACUAGGGAUCGGAUGAUGUUAAUUUUUUAAUGACUCAUUCGGCGCCUUACGGGAAA
rnacentral:rRNA from 1 species